AUUGAACGCUGGCGGCAGGCCUAACACAUGCAAGUCGAACGAGUGGCGGACGGGUGAGUAAUGUCUGGGAAACUGCCUGAUGGAGGGGGAUAACUACUGGAAACGGUAGCUAAUACCGCAUACCAUCAGAUGUACCCAGAUGGGAUUAGCUAGUUGGUGGGGUAACGGCUCACCAAGGCGACUAUCCCUAGCUGGUCUGAGAGGAUGAUCAGCCACACUGGGACUGAGACACGGUCCAGACUCCUACGGGAGGCAGCAGUGGGGAAUAUUGCACAAUGGGCGCAAGCCUGAUGCAGCCAUGCCGCGUGUAUGAAGAAGGCCUUCGGGUUGUAAAGUACUUUCAGCGGGGAGGCGUUACCGGCAGAAGAAGCACCGGCUAACUCCGUGCCAGCAGCCGCGGUAAUAC
rnacentral:rRNA from 1 species